rnacentral:rRNA from 1 species
CUACGGGGCGCUGCAGUGAGGAAUAUUGCACAAUGGGGGAAACCCUGAUGCAGCAACGCCGCGUGGAGGAUGACGCAUUUCGGUGUGUAAACUCCUUUUAUCAGAGAAGAAAAUGACGGUAUCUGAUGAAUAAGCUCCGGCUAACUCCGUGCCAGCAGCCGCGGUAAUACGGAGGGAGCAAGCGUUAUUCGGAAUCACUGGGCGUAAAGGACGCGUAGGCGGGUUUUUAAGUCAGGUGUGAAAUCCUAUGGCUCAACCAUAGAACUGCACUUGAAACUGGGGACCUAGAGUAUGGAAGGGGCAGGUGGAAUUAGUGGUGUAGGGGUAAAAUCCGUAGAUAUCACUAGGAACACCGAAAGCGAAGGCGACCUGCUGGGACAUUACUGACGCUGAGGCGUGAAAGCGUGGGGAGCAAACAGGAUUAGAUACCCUUGUAGUC